rnacentral:tRNA from 1 species
GUCUCUGUGGCGCAAUCGGUGAGCGCGUUCGGCUGUUAACCGAAAGGUUGGUGGUUCGGUCGGGACG